ensembl:snoRNA
GCAAUAAUUUAAUGUUUUGAAGGGUGAUAUUUAUCUACUUUUAAAAUACACCAGUUACUCAUAGCGCCCCAUGCCAGAGCAAACUGUGGCCCUGAGCCAUUGCCUGGCCUCCGUGUCUGCGGGCUGCUGGCACUGAAGUGGGUUGCACAGAG